rnacentral:misc_RNA from 1 species
AACGCACGAGACCUGCGGACCUGCGGAGGGAUCAUUACCGAGUUCUCGCCCCUCGCGGGGUAGACCUCCCACCCACUGUGAUCACUACCGUCGUUGCUUUGGCGGGCCGCUGGGCCCAGCCCACCGCCGGCUCCGGCUGGCGCGUGCCCGCCAGAGGCCCUACAAACGCUGGAUAUCAGUGCCGUCUGAGUACACAUGUUAAUCGUUAAAACUUUCAACAACGGAUCUCUAGAUCGGAAG